rnacentral:tmRNA from 1 species
GGGGAUGUACUUGGUUUCGACAUAAUACUAGAAGGAUAGAUAGCAAGUAGUGGAUUCUCGUUGGCCACUAAAAAAACGAGAAAAUAAAAAUAAAUGCAGAAAAUAAUAAUGAGUACGCUUUAGCUGCCUAAUUGCAGCUACGCUUUUCUAAUUGAACCUACACAUUUAGAUAAAGUGUUAUAGUAGUAGGAAACGAAAUUACUUUUUGCUUUGAAAGUAAUGGGAAUGUAAAAGCUAUAUUUUAUUUUAACCUGUUUGUUGGUGAAAAUAAAAUGAAUAUAAAAAACAAACUAAACUUGUAGAAAUUUAUUUGGAAGGUAUUGUGGACAGGAGUUCGAAUCUCCUCAUCUCCACCA